rnacentral:rRNA from 1 species
CCUACGGGGGGCAGCAGUAGGGAAUCUUCCACAAUGGGCGAAAGCCUGAUGGAGCAAUGCCGCGUGAAUGAAGAAGGUCUUCGGAUCGUAAAGUUCUGUUAUUAGAGAAGAACAAGUCAAGGAGUAACUGCCUUGACUUUGACGGUACCUAACCAGAAAGUCACGGCUAACUACGUGCCAGCAGCCGCGGUAAUACGUAGGUGACAAGCGUUGUCCGGAAUUAUUGGGCGUAAAGGGAGCGCAGGCGGUUGGAAUAGUCUGAUGUGAAAGCCCACGGCUUAACCGUGGAAUUGCAUUGGAAACUGUCCAACUUGAAUGCAGAAGAGGAAAGCGGAAUUCCAUGUGUAGCGGUGAAAUGCGUAGAUAUAUGGAGGAACACCAGUGGCGAAGGCGGCUUUCUGGUCUGUGAUUGACGCUGAGGCUCGAAAGCGU